GAACAAUGGCACCCCUUAGAAUAUUUUUUUUUCUUUUUCUUUUUCUUUUUCUCUUGGAAUACCGGUAUUUUUAACAGGUACGUAGAAAUACUGAUGCUGCCAAGAGAAAUGGCAGCACCUGUGUGCAUGGUAGAGAACGAGUGAUUCUCAUACAAAAUUUUCCACUUGAGUCAUUUUUAUAAUUAAUCAAUUCUUUUCAUUCAGUUAAAAUAAAAUCGUUUUAAACUAUUAAGUGAAUAAUCUGACCAAAGAAGACCACCUUUUCUCCACAUUAUUUAUCCCAAAGCAUCAAGCACACUUGAGGUGCUGGGACUCUCUUUCUUCAUUCUUUUUUGUUGUUUAUGAGCAGAUAGUUCAAAUUUCAUGGUCAUAGGGAGCUAUGGAAGCGAGGGACUCAAGUCGAUAUUUGCAUCGAUCGGUGGAAACACUGAUCGUAGUGGUGGCAGUGAUCACUAUCAUAUGUGUUAUUGUAGGGAUCAUUGCACGGUUAUGCGGAGGAAAGCGUUGGGUUGGGAAUGGGGAGAACCACAUUGAAGGAUGGAUAGAAAAGAAGUGCAGAAGUUGCAUUGAUGGUGGAGUCACAGUUGAAGAACCAAAGCCCGCAAUAGAAGAGGAAAGGAAAUGAAGCUUCAUGGUUCAUGUAUAGAUGAAUAUGCGUAAUUUAGUUAUUGGUUAGCUUAAAAUUCUGUAAUGGGAACAUUAUAACAGUGAGCUCAACAGUGAAGGAGAGGAGUUAUGGCAACUAAUAGGUUAAUGCUUUUAUAUCAUGUAUGUUAACUCUCUAAAAAUUUCCAGUCUGAGUGUGAAUGAUGUUGAAAUAACUAAAGUUGUAUCAUUUCCGGAA